UGAAUUGACGGGGGCCCGCACAAGCGGUGGAGCAUGUGGUUUAAUUCGAUGCAACGCGAAGAACCCUACCUGGUCUUGACAUCCACAGAAGAAUCCAGAGAUGGAUUUGUGCCUUCGGGAACUGUGAGACAGGUGCUGCAUGGCUGUCGUCAGCUCGUGUUGUGAAAUGUUGGGUUAAGUCCCGCAACGAGCGCAACCCUUAUCCUUUGUUGCCAGCGAUUAGGUCGGGAACUCAAAGGAGACUGCCAGUGAUAAACUGGAGGAAGGUGGGGAUGACGUCAAGUCAUCAUGGCCCUUACGACCAGGGCUACACACGUGCUACAAUGGCGCAUACAAAGAGAAGCGACCUCGCGAGAGCAAGCGGACCUCAUAAAGUGCGUCGUAGUCCGGAUUGGAGUCUGCAACUCGACUCCAUGAAGUCGGAAUCGCUAGUAAUCGUGGAUCAGAAUGCCACGGUGAAUACGUUCCCGGGCCUUGUACACACCGCCCG
rnacentral:rRNA from 1 species